rnacentral:rRNA from 1 species
UACGAAGGGGGCUAGCGUUGCUCGGAAUUACUGGGCGUAAAGCGCACGUAGGCGGUCUUUUAAGUCGGGGGUGAAAUCCUGGAGCUCAACUCCAGAACUGCCUUCGAUACUGGAAGACUUUAGUCCGGGAGAGGUGAGUGGAACUGCGAGUGUAGAGGUGAAAUUCGUAGAUAUUCGCAAGAACACCAGUGGCGAAGGCGGCUCACUGGCCCGGUACUGACGCUGAGGUGCGAAAGCGUGGGGAGCAAACAGG